UACAGAGGUCCCGAGCGUUGUUCGGAUUCACUGGGCGUAAAGGGUGCGUAGGUGGCAUGGAAAGUUUGAUGUGAAAGCUCAGGGCUUAACCCUGAAAUGGCAUUGAAUACUGCCGUGCUGGAGGUUUGGAGGGGGGACUGGAAUUCUUGGUGUAGCAGUGAAAUGCGUAGAUAUCAAGAGGAACACCAGUGGCGAAGGCGAGUCCCUGGACAACACCUGACACUGAGGCACGAAAGCCGGGGGAGCAAACAGG
rnacentral:rRNA from 1 species